rnacentral:lncRNA from 1 species
GAUGAAGUCACAAACCAGAGGGAGGAGGCCAGGCCUGCAGGGGCUGCUUCGGAGGGCUGGCCACGCGGGCAGCUGCAACCUGGGCAUGUACGUCUGUGUGGCAGGGGGGCUUCUGGACUGGGGGCUCGGCACCGACCCAGGAAGGGGAGCUGUGAGCAGGGACAUCUGGCCCUAGUCUCAGAGCAACAUCCCUCGAAAUGCCAUCUGGCCCUGGAAGGUGCAAGGGAGGCAGGAUGAGUCUGCUCAUGCUACCGCGGGCCGCCCAGCAAGGAAGCAGGCUGCCCGCCAGGCUGGCACGCGCCUCUUGCAGUGGAGGGUUUGCUCUUCAGGAACGGACAGAGAACCUCCAGACUCCCUCGGCUGCACGCUGGGGGCGAGCCCAGGCAGCCACAGGAGUCCUCCAAGCCAGAUGAGCCCGCCCUGCGGCACUGCCAGCACUUGGGACGCCAGACUCCCUUCAGGCGGCGGGCCCCAAGGGCACUGCGACAGCUCAGCACCCACCACAGAUCAGCAACAGGACAACCCGAGCGCGGAGACACAGACGGGAAGCGUGUGGGGUCCUGGGAUAGGCCCAACUCAAUGAUUUCCCCUCCCUGGGGCUAAGACACCACUGAUGUGAAGACGCAGGAGACAGGACAACCCCCCGUGAAGGGUCCUGUCCACCCACCACUGAGGCCUGGCCCGACUUUCUACAAGACCCUGCUGGGGGGGAAGUGCCCCUCGGAGUAAAGGAAAUACAGCCCCACUCCUGGGAAGACAGCACUCAUUUCCAUCAGAGGCCACGCCCCCCACUCACACGCCAGGAGAAAGCCACACCUGCAGAAGCCUGCUCCCCACCCAAUGCCAGGGGCGGAAAUGUGGACGGAGGGCGACUUCUCUGCCAGCCUGGCGGGGGCCUGCAGCAAGCUCGCCGAUGCCCUCUGCGCCUGCUGGGCCCGCAGCCCCUCCUCUGGGGAGGCUCUGGGACUGGAGCAACUGGGACUCUCCUGGCUGCUGACCCCGGAGCCAGGCUCUCUGCUUGUCCUGCACUACCUCGCCACGUCUGCACAGGGGCCUGACAAGCGCUACUGUCUCCGGGCUACAGAGGACACUGGAGCUCAGAGCUGGACAACCGGCCCAGGCCCAGGCCGCACACGGCGCAGCAGGCCGUCUGCCGCACUCUGGGGGAGGUCACCCUGGGGCUGCUGACCUGCUCUGUCCCUCGCCCCAGCACCGUGGCAAUCUAACAGGAAGGGGCAGGGCCAGCUCCCUCUGGAACUCGGGCAGCGUCAAAGAUAAGGUGUCUUCAAAAAGCUCAUGGAAAACGUGCGUUGUGACGAAACUUGCAUGGCUUUCAAGUUUUUUUGCCCCAAAAUAAACUGAUACUAACUUGUCAUAA